CAUAAGCAAAGGUGACCCUUGUCUUGAACCUUUACAUAGCGAGUAAGAGCCCGAUUUAACAAGAGUGACGCUUGUCUUGAACUCUAUCUCAGAUUUUUCUCAAACCCGCACAUAACCUUUUCCUAAGGUGUUUUCUCAGCCCGUGCUUUUCUGGCCCUGCACGUAUAUCCCAGUUUCAUGAACGUUCUAGGAGUUCGCCCCAUAAACUCCAUAGGAACCGGCCUCAGUUCCACAUUC
rnacentral:lncRNA from 1 species